rnacentral:rRNA from 1 species
GACGAACGCUGGCGGCGUGCUUAACACAUGCAAGUCGAACGGAAAGGCCCCUUUGGGGGUACUCGAGUGGCGAACGGGUGAGUAACACGUGAGUAACCUGCCCUUGACUUCGGGAUAACUUCAGGAAACUGGGGCUAAUACCGGAUAGGAAUCCUUGCUGCAUGGUGGGGGUUGGAAAGCUUCGGCGGUUUUGGAUGGACUCGCGGCUUAUCAGCUUGUUGGUGGGGUAGUGGCUCACCAAGGCUUUGACGGGUAGCCGGCCGGAGAGGGCGACCGGCCACAUUGGGACUGAGAUACGGCCCAGACUCCUACGGGAGGCAGCAGUGGGGAAUAUUGCACAAUGGGCGGAAGCCUGAUGCAGCAACGCCGCGUGCGGGAUGACGGCCUUCGGGUUGUAAACCGCUUUCAGCAGGGGCGAAGCUUGUGGUGACGGUACCUGCAGAAGAAGCACCGGCUAACUACGUG